rfam:Brachypodium distachyon strain Bd21 chromosome 3, whole genome shotgun sequence.
GAUCUACUUCCUCCGUCCAACAAAGGAUGUCUCAACUUUGACUAAAUUUGAAUGCAUUUAUACAUUAAGUCACGUCUAGAUACAUCCAAAGCUUAAGACAUCUUUUGUUGGAUGGAGGGAGUAGUGA